rnacentral:sRNA from 1 species
GUUGAGCAUGGCAGCGCAUGCCUGUAAUCCCAGAAACUCAGGAGGCUGAGGCUGGAGGAUUGUGAGUUCAAAGCCAGCCUUAC